rnacentral:pre_miRNA from 1 species
UGACGAUGAUGUUGGUGAUGUUGAUGAUGGUGAUGAUGAUGGUGAUGGUGAUGAUGAUUCAUCAUCAUCAUCAUCAUCAUCAUCUCCGAUUUCG